AUAGUGUGAUGUUGUUGCGCUAUAUUAUGAACUAGACAGGGUGUUAUAUUUAUUUUGAAGUAACGCUUUUAUUUUGAAGAACCGGAUGUCCGGUGCGGGAAGUGUCUUUGCUGUUUUUCGAUUGCUUUACUUCCUCUUCCUUCGGACUUCUGAACGAGAAGGAGCAGAUAUCACUCCGCCAGAAAGUUGAGACCUGUGUGUGUGUUUUGUGUUUCCAACACAGGUAUGUGGAUUUGUGCAUUAUUAUUUUGUAAGAAAACGUUUUUGUUAAUGUAAUUUAAUUUAUUAUUAUUUUUAUAUGAAUGAAUGAAUGUUACUUCCUCUUCCUUCGGACUUCUGAACGAGAAGGAGCAGAUAUCACUCCGCCAGAAAGUUGAGACCUGUGUGUGUGUUUUGUGUUUCCAACACAGGUUUCCAAUAAAUACUGAACCGACGGCA